rnacentral:rRNA from 1 species
UACGAAGGGGGCUAGCGUUGCUCGGAAUCACUGGGCGUAAAGCGCACGUAGGCGGCUUCUUAAGUCAGGGGUGAAAUCCUGGAGCUCAACUCCAGAACUGCCUUUGAUACUGAGAAGCUUGAGUCCGGGAGAGGUGAGUGGAACUGCGAGUGUAGCGGUGAAAUGCGUAGAUAUCUGGAGGAACACCGGUGGCGAAGGCGGCAUCCUGGACCGGUAUUGACGCUGAGGCGCGAAAGCCAGGGGAGCAAACGGG